CUCAUAAUUGCACAAAUACACGCACGUACCCCACCAACCGACGCUCUAUUAUUUUGUUUUAUUGAAGAAGAAGCACCCUUCUCUUCUCUUACUUUUAUUUUCUUCCUUUCUUCUUCAUCAUCAAUUUUCAGCUCAUUACUCUGCACCUUCCUUUUUCGUAACAUACAUACCCAUAUUGCGUUUCCUUUAUCUUUGUUAGAUAUAUUAAUUAAUAGCAGUCAGUUGUAAGAAUUACUGCCAAUUCUUUGUAGUUUUCUUUCAGUUUCAGUUUUGACAAAAAAAAUAUGGAUGAAUUUGGCGUUUUGGUUGAGAGAUAUGGCGUUAAAGUUCAAGGUGGCAAGUCAACACCGAUGGCCAAUUUGAAGGCUAAUAAAGCCAAUUCCACCAAUGGCUUUCCCUCAAACCUUGGGUUUAAUUCGGGUCAAAACUCGGGUUACAGCUCCGAUCCAUUUGACGGAUCAUUUGCGAAUGAUCUCGAUGGAAUUUUUCGGUCCAAGAGUUCACAGAAUUACGACAAUAAUGAUAUUUUCGGUGGCGUUUUUGCAAAUUCAAAGCAGCAGAAUAAUGUUGAUAUUGAAUCAGUGUUAGGUGGUUCUAAUAGUAAUAAUAACAAUAACUAUGACGGUAAUAAUUCGUAUGAUGAUUUUGAUUUGUUUGGUACGGCACCAAAGAGGAGUGACUCAAUUGAUGAUUUAUUUGGGAACUUGGGAUUGAAAUCGGAUGGUCCGAAGAAAGAUCAUGCUGGAAAGAGGUCAGAAAGUGAUGAUUUGAUUCCUGGAUUUGGUGAUUUUAGCUCACCUAGUUAUGGCAAAAAGCUAGAGACGAAAGGUUCUCAGCAGUCGAAUUCUUCUAAAUCAAGCUCCUCUUCGCCAGAUGAUCCAUUUUUAGUUUUUGAAUCAUCCACCAGGGAGGCAAAUGCUUCUUCUUGGCCAUUUUCAGAAUCAUCGGAACAUCAUCCUGGAAUUAGCACUGUAACUUCUUCAAUUGACGAACUUGAAGAUUUUGCGAAUUUUAAGGUUAGGAGUAAUGUUACUGAACAAUCACAUGAUACUAAAAAGGACGCCUAUGUAAAGAAGCCUGUGGAAAGAGCACAAGAGAAGUCCAAAAAUGUGAGAGUGACGAUCAACAAACCGAGCAAGACAACAACACCAAAUUCUGCAGCUAAGGGCCAUGUGUCUGCAGAUUUCCAUGAGAAAGGAAAGCCUGAAGAAAAGAAAUCAUCAUCCAUAAGGAAGAAUGUGUCGCCUGUGAAAAACUUUGUUGAUGAUUUAAUGUUUUUUGGAGACUCUGCUCCUUCCUCUGAGGUGUUUCAGGAAGUUGAAGGAGAAAGUGAAGAAAGACGAAGAGCUAGAUUGAAGCAUCAUAUGAAGACCCAAGAGCGCAUGGCUAAGGCUUUGGCUGAGAAGACUCGGCGCGAUCUUCAGUCUCAGAAUGAGCAGGAUGAGAAGCAUAGGCUUGCUGAGAUGCUGGACUAUGAUAUAAAACGUUGGGCUACUGGGAAAGAAGGCAACCUCCGCGCGUUGCUGUCAUCACUGCAACAUGUAUUGUGGACUGAAUGCGGUUGGCAGCCAGUUUCUUUGACCGAUUUGAUCACUUCCACAUCUGUCAAAAAAGUUUAUCACAGGGCAACCUUAUGUGUUCACCCAGACAAAGUUCAACAAAAAGGGGCCACAGUUCGGCAAAAGUAUAUUGCUGAGAAGGUUUUUGAUCUUCUGAAGGGAUUUUCUUAUUAAUGCGGCCAACCAAAUGGCCCCUUAACUGGAGUAAAAUAUGUGGAUAUAUUAGGUACAUGGUAUGGCCAGCCCCUUUAUAGAGCAAAUGGUAAUAAGGAAGCAUGGAAUAAAUUCAAUACAGAGGAGCUAAGAUGAGUUUGAGCUAAGGUUUCCUUUUGUUGAGAAAGCAGAUGAUGACCUGCCUUUGUACGAGUGCUCAAAUAGCUGUGCAAGUUGGCUCGACUUUAUUCUUUGGUGUGUCAUUUUUUUUUUUGUUUUGCAAUUGUCACAUACAGAUGGAAAUCUUCAUCAGCGAUUCCCACUUGCUCUGAAAUAUCAAAGCAGUAGGUUUUUGUGCAUAAUUUGUUGAUUUAGGUGAAACACCAUGGUUGUUGGCAUGUUGCAUAUGAUAUUGUUAUUGAUCAUCUAUCCUUGAAUUCAUGAUAAUUUGGUCUUUUUCUUAUGCAUGAAUAUGAUUUUUGAUCC